UACGGAAGGCAGCAGUGGGGAAUAUUGCACAAUGGGCGCAAGCCUGAUGCAGCCAUGCCGCGUGUAUGAAGAAGGCCUUCGGGUUGUAAAGUACUUUCAGCGGGGAGGAAGGCGAUGCGGUUAAUAACCGCGUCGAUUGACGUUACCCGCAGAAGAAGCACCGGCUAACUCCGUGCCAGCAGCCGCGGUAAUACGGAGGGUGCAAGCGUUAAUCGGAAUUACUGGGCGUAAAGCGCACGCAGGCGGUCUGUUAAGUCAGAUGUGAAAUCCCCGGGCUUAACCUGGGAACUGCAUUUUGAAACUGGCAGGCUUGAGUCUUGUAGAGGGGGUAGAAUUCCAGGUGUAGCGGUGAAAUGCGUAGAGAUCUGGAGGAAUCCGGUGGCGAAGGCGGCCCCUGGGACAAAGACUGACGCUCAGGUGCGAAAGCGUGGGGAGCAAACAGGGAUUAGGAUACC
rnacentral:rRNA from 1 species